GGAAAGAUGCUCGAGUGGUUGAAGAGGCACGCCUGGAAAGCGUGUAUGCGCCAAAAGCGUAUCCGGGGUUCGAAUCCCCGUCUUUCCG
rnacentral:tRNA from 2 species